rnacentral:rRNA from 1 species
GCACAAGCGGUGGAGCAUGUGGUUUAAUUCGAAGCAACGCGAAGAACCUUACCAGGUCUUGACAUCCCCUGACAACCCGAGAGAUCGGGCGUUCCCCUUCGGGGGACAGGGUGACAGGUGGUGCAUGGUUGUCGUCAGCUCGUGUCGUGAGAUGUUGGGUUAAGUCCCGCAACGAGCGCAACCCUCGACCUUAGUUGCCAGCAUUCAGUUGGGCACUCUAAGGUGACUGCCGGCUAAAAGUCGGAGGAAGGUGGGGAUGACGUCAAAUCAUCAUGCCCCUUAUGACCUGGGCUACACACGUGCUACAAUGGGCGGUACAAAGGGUCGCGAACCCGUGAGGGGGAGCCAAUCCCAAAAAGCCGCUCUCAGUUCGGAUUGCAGGCUGCAACUCGCCUGCAUGAAGCCGGAAUCGCUAGUAAUCGCAGGUCAGCAUACUGCGGUGAAUACGUUCCCGGGCCUU